CAGGCCAUUUGAAAGCAGUGUGCCUUUCCCACAAUCCCCUGGGCUCCACCGGCUUUGAGCUGGUGUUAAAGACUCUGCCCCUCCACUGUCUCACACACGUGGACCUGUCGGCUGUCUGCAGAGGGCCUGCUGAUUACCCGGCACUGGAACACCUCGCCAAAGUCCUGUCACAGGACGAGUGCUCUCUGAGCCACCUGAGCCUGGCUGCAAAUGGGCUGACAGACAGCAGUGUAACUACCUUGGCGAGGUGCCUCUCGUCGUGUCCCACACUGGUGAGUCUGAAUCUGUCAGGAAAUCCGUCUGUUACAUCAGCGUGA